UUCCCAAACUACACUCUCUCUCUCUCUCUCCCCCUCUCUCUCUCUCUGUGAAGAUGUUAGUGUUCCACCUAAUUCAAGCUACCCUACUGAAGAAAGCGGUGUCGCCGCUCUUGCAGAUAUCAAUGAGAGCCAUAGAUUCUUCAAGUUUGUGGCGCCUCCAUCGGUUUCUGGUAGAUCUCUCUACUCUAUACAACCAAUGAUCUAGAAUCCCUCAUUGUCUCAGCCAAUUAUUCUCAUGACACAACUCUCAUCUAUUUCAACUUCUUCAACAAUACUCAUCACAACGCUCAGUUCGUGUCUGAUCAAAGGAGGCCUCUUUUGUUCGACAAACCUCGCACUCCUGGUAACCCUUACAAUUAUUUGGACAUCAAUGAAUCAGAAUAUGAAUAUCAAGUCAUUUUGGGAAUACCAUCAAAAGAGUUUAGGCAGAUUUUGAGGCACAUAAGGGAGUUUGCGACGCUUGUAGUCGAUGUGAUUGUAACUGAUGCAGAAGUUUUGCCAUCAGAUCAGGAUCUGAAGACCUUAUCCUUACAAAAGACUUAAGAAAAUCAUCAAAGCCGGGUGUAUUGUGUGGGGGGUUGAUUCGAGUAACCAGUUGGACAUCUUGGUAACAUCACGUACUACUUUGAUAAGAGAUAUGACCUUGGAAUUCAUUAGCGUCAAACACAUGACAACCCACCUCCCCUGUUCAAAGAUUGGUAACUAGUUUCAAACACAUGACAGUACCUUCCCUGUUCAAUUUCCCUGUUUCCUAAUUCAAAUCUUGGCAUGUGAAACAAAAAGUCUAGCAAACCAAACCAGAAUUUCUGACUCAGAUUUUGUAAUCACUGGUGUAUAUUUUGACCUUGUUAUUUUGGGGUCACACUAUGAGUAAAUCCCAGUCUUUGAUUACAAAUUUUGGGCACUUUUCUGGGUUUUUAGAACUACUGGAUAUGACAUGAAUUGUAGCAUAUUUUCUCUAUGUACGACUAAACUGUACAUGACCAAUACAAUAGAAAUGACGAAUAUAU